rnacentral:misc_RNA from 1 species
GAUGAAGAACGUAGCGAAACGCGAUAUGUAAUGUGAAUUGCAGAAUUCAGUGAAUCAUCGAAUCUUUGAACGCACAUGGCGCCUUCCAGUAUCCUGGGAGGCAUGCCUGUCCGAGCGUCGUUUCAACCCUCGAGCCCCCGUGGCCCGGCGUUGGGGAUCUGCCCAGGCAGUCCCCGAAAACCAGUGGCGGACCCGUUACAGGCCCUUCCCUUGCGUAGUAUCAUUCGCCUCGCAUCGGGAGCCGGCGGGCUUCCAGCCUCUAAACCCCCAUCAAGUCCGCCCCGGCGGCACCAAGGUUGACCUCGGAUCAGGUAGGAAUACCCGCUGAACUUAAGCAUAUCAAUAAGCGGAGGA